CCAUGUUAACAUGGGCUAUAAUCCAUUCAGCGUAAGAUGGUGAUUAUGACAGUUCUAUUUAGUGAGGCGCUCCUUAUAAACCUAAUCGAUAUUUUUUAGAAUCGAGAAUAUUUUCUAUAGAAAU